rnacentral:rRNA from 1 species
AGUCUGCAACUCGACUGCACGAAGCUGGAAUCGCUAGUAAUCGCGGAUCAGCAUGCCGCGGUGAAUACGUUCCCGGGCCUUGUACACACCGCCCGUCACACCAUGAGAGUCGGGAACACCCGAAGUCCGUAGCCUAACCGCAAGGAGGGCGCGGCCGAAGGUGGGUUCGAUAAUUGGGGUGAAGUCGUAACAAGGUAAC